rnacentral:lncRNA from 1 species
AUGCUAAUAAAGGUACGUGGAAACGUAUGACCGUUGCCCUCCGGGGGGUUACGAUGUACAGAGUGGAAUCCAGUCGGUAAGUUUGAUACGCUCUGAAUGCUCAUCUCCGACUGGAUGAUGGAGGAUUCGUCACCGACUGGAUAAUGGGAAGUCCUUAAUUCAGUCGGAACUGACUAAGGGCCUUAUCCCUUAUGAAGGGUAGUCCUUGGGUAGGACCCAUGGGGCAGGCCUAUGACCCUACCCUAGGACUAUAACCCCAUCACCGUUGAAUUUCUCACAACGAGCUCUUCAAAACUAGAUCCCAUAUCGACAUGUUUCGAUAACUUUUUUCACGUCCGUACUUGCC